rnacentral:lncRNA from 1 species
AGGGUAAUGUUGGGUUCUAAACUGCACCCAUCCUCCAAAAAAAAAUGGUGAAGAGUUGGUACAAUGUUUUUCUAAAAUUCUAUAGGAUUUACUCAUGAACCAUCUCAGCUGAGUGCUUUCAUUUUGGAAGGUAAUCAAUGAUUGAUUUAAUAUCUAUAAUUCAGAUUGUCUGUAAUUCAUGUUAUGCAAAUUUGGGCAGAUAGUAAUUAAAAAAUUUUUUUUAGUUGUAGAUGGACGCAUUACCUUUAUUUUAUUUUAAUGUGGUGCUGAGGAUUGAACCCAGUGCCUUCCACAUGCAAGUCGAGUGCUCUACCACUGAACUACGACCCCCGCCAUGGGCAGAUAGUCUUUCUAGGAAUGGGUUCAUUUCAUCCAGGGCAUC